rnacentral:lncRNA from 1 species
AUGGGGAGGAGGGGAUGUGGUGCACCUUUGCGGCUCGCUGUCUGGCUUAUCAGGGACCUUGCAGACGGGAUGACAGACCUGCCCUUCCGUCUCUGUCUUUCCGGGGCGCCUGCCAGGUUCCGCUCAGCCCUGCCCACACGGCCUGCCUCAUCCCUCCCACACGCGCCGCUGUCGCCUAGCAACCGGGCUUGCCCGCCAGCAUCCUGCAGCCUGAGGUCCCUGCCUGCAGCAGCCCAGCUUCUCAGGCGCCAGGAAGCCUUCCAGGUUGCCAGCUCCCCUGCACAUCCCCUGGACCAGGCCGGGGUAGGUUUCUUGAGUGGCCGGGUCCCAUGGGUGGGUGGGGCCUGUGGAGCUGGGUUCCUCUCACCCCCAGGGGACCUCGGUGAGGGGAUGGCCCGAGGGGCCCACCCCCGGGGGCAGCACCAGCCCCUAGGACUUCCUCCCCGUGCACGUCCGCAGCCUUAGGGCCUGGGAAGAAAUGCUGGCUGGUCCGCGCCCCUGCCUCAGCCCCGAGGGGCAGAGGGAGGUGCAGACAGGACCUGGAGGGAAGGACAGACCGUCCACACUGAGAGACAAGCGUAUCUCCUUUAUUCCCCGCCCCGCCCCCACACUUCCAGGCGGUUCUG